rnacentral:rRNA from 1 species
CAGUCGCCGCGGUAAUACAGAGGGUGCGAGCGUUAAUCGGAUUUACUGGGCGUAAAGCGUGCGUAGGCGGCUUCUUAAGUCGGAUGUGAAAUCCCUGAGCUUAACUUAGGAAUUGCAUUCGAUACUGGGAAGCUAGAGUAUGUGAGAGGAUGGUAGAAUUCCAGGUGUAGCGGUGAAAUGCGUAGAGAUCUGGAGGAAUACCGAUGGCGAAGGCAGCCAUCUGGCCUAAUACUGACGCUGAGGUACGAAAGCAUGGGGAGCAAACAGGAUUAGAUACCCCUGUAGUCCCUGUCUCUUAUAC